rnacentral:rRNA from 1 species
UAGAGUUUGAUUCUGGCUCAGGAUGAACGCUAGCUACAGGCUUAACACAUGCAAGUCGAGGGGAAACGAUGAAAGAGCCUGCUCUCUUAGGCGUCCACCGGCGCACGGGUGAGUAACCCGUAUCCAACCCGCCCAUUACAGGGGAAUAACCUUGCCAAAGUAAGACUAAUGCCCCAUGGUAUUUCUCAGCAGAAAUUUAAUGAGGAUUAAAGAUUUAUCGGUAAUGGAUGGGGAAGCCUCUGAUUAGCUUGUUGGCGGGGUAACCGCCCACCAAGGCAACGAUCAGUAGGGGUUCUGAGAGGAAGGUCCCCCACAUUGGAACUGAGACACGGUCCAAACUCCUACGGGAGGCAGCAGUGAGGAAUAUUGGUCAAUGGGCGAGAGCCUGAACCAGCCAAGUAGCGUGCAGGAAGACGGCCCUAUGGGUUGUAAACUGCUUUUAUAGGGGAAAUAAAGUGAUCUACGUGUAGUUUAUUGUAUGUACCCUAUGAAUAAGGACCGGCUAAUUCCGUGCCAGCAGCCGCGGUAAUACGGAAGGUUCGGGCGUUAUCCGGAUUUAUUGGGUUUAAAGGGAGCGUAGGCCGUAGAUUAAGCGUGUUGUGAAAUGUAGAUGCUCAACAUCUGACUUGCAGCGCGAACUGGUUUACUUGAGUGUGCACAACGUAGGCGGAAUUCGUCGUGUAGCGGUGAAAUGCUUAGAUAUGACGAAGAACUCCGAUUGCGAAGGCAGCUUACGGGAGCACAACUGACGCUGAAGCUCGAAGGUGCGGGUAUCAAACAGGAUUAGAUACCCUGGUAGUCCGCACAGUAAACGCUGGAUGCCCGCUGUUGGCUCAUUAGAGUCAGCGGCCAAGCGAAAGCAUUAAGCAUCCCACCUGGGGAGUACGCCGGCAACGGUGAAACUCAAAGGAAUUGACGGGGGCCCGCACAAGCGGAGGAACAUGUGGUUUAAUUCGAUGAUACGCGAGGAACCUUACCCGGGCUUGAAUUGCAGACGCACGCGGCAGAGAUGCCAAGGCCCUUCGGGGCGUCUGUGAAGGUGCUGCAUGGUUGUCGUCAGCUCGUGCCGUGAGGUGUCGGCUUAAGUGCCAUAACGAGCGCAACCCCUUUUCUUAGUUGCCAUCAGGUGAUGCUGGGCACUCUGGGAAUACUGCCACCGUAAGGUGUGAGGAAGGUGGGGAUGACGUCAAAUCAGCACGGCCCUUACGUCCGGGGCUACACACGUGUUACAAUGGCCGGUACAGAGGGCAGGUUGCAUGUAAAAUGCGAAUCGAAAUUCUUAAAAGCCGGUCCCAGUUUCGGACUGAGGUUCUGCAACCCGACCUCAGAAAGCUGAUUUCGGCUAUUAAUCGCGGCAUUCAGGCCAUGGCGCGAGUAAAUACGUUUCCCGGGCUUUGUCACACC